rnacentral:rRNA from 1 species
GCAUAUCAAUAAGCGGAGGAAAAGAAACCAACAGGGAUUGCCCUAGUAACGGCGAGUGAAGCGGCAACAGCUCAAAUUUGAAAUCUGGCGCAAGCCCGAGUUGUAAUUUGUAGAGGAUGCUUCAGGGCAGCGGCCGGUCUAAGUUCCUUGGAACAGGACGUCAUAGAGGGUGAGAAUCCCGUAUGCGACCGGUUGGCACCCGUCACGUAGCUCCUUCGACGAGUCGAGUUGUUUGGGAAUGCAGCUCUAAAUGGGAGGUAAAUUUCUUCUAAAGCUAAAUACCGGCCAGAGACCGAUAGCGCACAAGUAGAGUGAUCGAAAGAUGAAAAGCACUUUGGAAAGAGAGUUAAAAAGCACGUGAAAUUGUUGAAAGGGAAGCGCAUGCUACCAGACUUGUCGGCGGUGUUCCGCCGGUCUUCUGACCGGUCUACUCGCCGCCGGCAGGCCCGCAUCACUUGGGGGCGCCGGAUAAAGGCGUCGGGAAUGUGGCUCCUCGGAGCGUUAUAGCCCGGCGCACAAUACGGCGAUUCCCGAGUGAGGUCCGCGCUUCGGCUAGGAUGCGGGCGUAAUGGUCGUUUGCGGCCCGUCUUGAAACACGGACCAAGGAGUCUACCAUCUAUGCGAGUGUUCGGGUGUUAAACCCCUACGCGGAAUGAAAGUGAACGGAGGUGGGAACUUUUUGUGCACCAUCGACCGAUCCUGAUGUCUUCGGAUGGAUUUGAGUAAGAGCAUAGCUGGUGGGACCCGAAAGAUGGUGAACUAUGCCUGAAUAGGGUGAAGCCAGAGGAAACUCUGGUGGAGGCUCGCAGCGGUUCUGACGUGCAAAUCGAUCGUCAAAUUUGGGUAUAGGGGCGAAAGACUAAUCGA